CCUGGCCUUAAAUCUUUUUAAAGGAGGAAAAGAUUACUAGACCAGCUUUGUGGGUCCACACAGGUUCUCUUUCCAGGACUUCUCUGUAUAUUUUCCUGCUUCAAGGCUCCAUCAAACUAUUUCCAUUCUUCAGUGUCUGCAUGCUCAAAUCAUAUUUUGUACAAGAAGAAAAUUUAAGUUUACUAAAAACAAAAUUGGAAAGUCUUUCAA
rnacentral:lncRNA from 12 species